UACGUAGGGUGCAAGCGUUGUCCGGAAUUAUUGGGCGUAAAGAGCUCGUAGGCGGUCUGUCGCGUCUGCUGUGAAAACCUGGGGCUUAACCCCGAGCCUGCAGUGGAUACGGGCAGACUAGAGGUAGGUAGGGGAGAAUGGAAUUCCCGGUGUAGCGGUGAAAUGCGCAGAUAUCGGGAGGAACACCGGUGGCGAAGGCGGUUCUCUGGGCCUUACCUGACGCUGAGGAGCGAAAGCGUGGGGAGCGAACAGG
rnacentral:rRNA from 1 species